rnacentral:rRNA from 1 species
AUGUCCCCUUUAUGGAAAGCCCCUGUCCCCCUAAAAAUUAAGAUCUUUGUUUGGCAAUUACUACAGGACCGCCUCCCCUCGGGGACCGAGGUACGUAAGCGGAACGGACCUGGCGAUGGUAUUUGCCCGUUAUGUGCGGUACCGGAGACUGGGACUCGUAUCCUCUUCUCAUGUACCGCAGCGAGGGUACUCUGGACAUAUGUCCGCGAGGUGUUGGGGCCUGACUGGGAGGCCCUAAACCUUGCUGAGUUCCUCCAACAUAGAGCUUUACCGUUGUCAAGACAUCGGCGCCUAUUUUGGCUUAUUUUCGCGGCAUUGUCGUGGACUCUUUGGACGACUAGGAAUAAGAUGGUGAUCGAGAAGGUUUUUCCGAGGAAGGCGUCUGACUCCCUCUUCAAAUUCCGGGCUUUCCUGCAGCACUGGCACCCGCUCUCGAGGCACCGUGAUCGAAACCGACUCGGCCUGAUGAUGGAUGCGCUUCUGGCGUCGGCGCGUCGACUUUCCUCCCUGUAG